rnacentral:lncRNA from 1 species
AUGCAGACCGCAGGACGCCUGCAGCUUCCUCAGUGCCAAUUACGGAGAAAUAAUUCAGCGUGCUCACCCCCUGCCUCUCAGCAGACACUCUUUGGGGACAUUUUAAAUCUGACUGUACCUGCUGAGCAGCUGACAAGUGAAGCCUUCCCUCCCGACUGCCUGCCUGCUGUCUCUUCCACCUCUCUGCCCAGGCUCUUUCCUGGGGAAGAGAGGACCUCAAGCUGGGGGUGGUCAGCCCUGCCCCCAGAGCAGGGCCUGCUCCCAUCAGCGCACAUUGCUGCCCCCGGGCUCUGCCUCAAGAUAAGCUCCAGGAUAAGAGCCGGCCUGGGAUCGGUGUCAGCUGCCGGGUCCGAGGGCUAAGCCGGGCUCAGGCGCAGGAAGACCAGGAGGACAAGUGCUGCACGAGCCCCGGUUCACGGUCUCUGAAAGAGCCAGGGAUGGGCGCCCUGCACAACCAGGAACAGACCCCAAAGCUGGCCUCUCCCGCUCUGCCGGCCUUCCCAGUCUAAACAGGUAAGUCCUAAGUUCCUCCCACAGGCAAGCAGCUGCUGUCAUCUGCAUGGUUGGCCUCGCAGGUCCCCUUGGGGCAGGAAUUGUCUUUGUUUAGGAAAAUUCUUUUUCCUUUUUUAGGGCCACUCCCGCGGCACAUGGAGGUUCCCAGGCUAGAGGUCGAAUCGAAGCAGCAGCUGCUGGCCUACACCACAGCCACGGCAACGCGGGAUCUUUAACCCAGUGCGGGAAGCCAGGGGUCAAACCUGCAUCCUCAUAGAUACUAGUUGGGUUCUUAACCCACUGAGCCACAGCAGGAACUCCUAGGAAAAUACUUUUCAAGGCUGAUUGUGGAUGAUCCAGAGAACACAGUCUAACCAGAGGCCAAGGCCACAAAAGAGACAGAAAUGAAUAGGAAUUUAGAGGAAGGAAGACAGGUCAGACCGUGACACCAGAGAGACGGGGUGAGGCGGGCGGUCCCUGAGAGAAGCCACCCCUGCCCCUCCGUGGCCACACAUCCCACGGGGGUCCGGAGGACUGGCCUGUCUUGUUCCCUGUGAUGCUCUUUGCGCCAGAGGGAUGUAAGCAGCUCCUACCCUACCCUCCACCACCACGGCGUUGCCUGCGCACACACACACACACACACACACACAUGCACACACCUUGUGGAGGUGGACGUGGGGGAAGAGGGGCCGAACGGCACAGCUGAGUCUCUGUGGUUCGGAAUCUCAGGUAUGGAAGCGAUAUUCACCCCCCCAACAUGGAGUCAGCUCAGCCAAAGCAGGUCCCCUGAGCCAGAGAGGCAGCUCUCCAGGGCUUUGCAGAAACCUCAGCAAAGACCUCAGCCUUUCCCAGGACACCUCAGUGGACU